UACGUAGGGGGCUAGCGUUGUCCGGAAUUAUUGGGCGUAAAGAGCUCGUAGGCGGCCUGUUGCGUCCGCUGUGAAAGCCCGGGGCUUAACCCCGGGUCGGCAGUGGAUACGGGCAGGCUAGAGGUAGGUAGGGGAGAAUGGAAUUCCCGGUGUAGCGGUGAAAUGCGCAGAUAUCGGGAGGAACACCGGUGGCGAAGGCGGUUCUCUGGGCCUUACCUGACGCUGAGGAGCGAAAGCGUGGGGAGCGAACAGG
rnacentral:rRNA from 1 species